GUAGUCCACGCCGUAAACGAUGAAUGCUAGGUGUUAGGGGUUUCGAUACCCUUGGUGCCGAAGUUAACACAUUAAGCAUUCCGCCUGGGGAGUACGGUCGCAAGACUGAAACUCAAAGGAAUUGACGGGGACCCGCACAAGCAGUGGAGUAUGUGGUUUAAUUCGAAGCAACGCGAAGAACCUUACCAGGUCUUGACAUCCCUCUGACCGCUCUAGAGAUAGGGCUUUCCUUCGGGACAGAGGAGACAGGUGGUGCAUGGUUGUCGUCAGCUCGUGUCGUGAGAUGUUGGGUUAAGUCCCGCAACGAGCGCAACCCUUGAUCUUAGUUGCCAGCACUUCGGGUGGGCACUCUAGGAUGACUGCCGGUGACAAACCGGAGGAAGGUGGGGAUGACGUCAAAUCAUCAUGCCCCUUAUGACCUGGGCUACACACGUACUACAAUGGCCGAUACAACGGGAAGCGAAACCGCGAGGUGGAGCGAAUCCUAUCAAAGUCGGUCUCAGUUCGGAUUGCAGGCUGCAACUCGCCUGCAUGAAGUCGGAAUUGCUAGUAAUCGCGGAUCAGCAUGCCGCGGUGAAUA
rnacentral:rRNA from 1 species